rnacentral:rRNA from 1 species
CACGUAGUUAGCCGGCGCUUCUUCUGCAGGUACCGUCACUUGCGCUUCUUCCCUGCUGAAAGAGGUUUACAACCCGAAGGCCGUCAUCCCUCACGCGGCGCCGCUGCAUCAGGCUUGCGCCCAUUGUGCAAUAUUCCCCACUGCUGCCUCCCGUAGGAGUCUGGGCCGUGUCUCAGUCCCAGUGUGGCCGGUCGCCCUCUCAGGCCGGCUACCCGUCGUCGCCUUGGUGAGCCGUUACCUCACCAACAAGCUGAUAGGCCGCGGGCUCAUCCUGCACCGCCGGAGCUUUCCACACAGAGGAGAUGCCUCCCUGUGUCGUAUCCGGUAUUAGACCCCGUUUCCAGGGCUUGUCCCAGAGUGCAGGGCAGAUUGCCCACGUGUUACUCACCCGUUCGCCACUAAUCCACCCCCGAAGGGGCUUCAUCGUUCGACUUGCAUGUGUUAAGCACGCCGCCAGCGUCGUCUCGUAGCCACGGAGUCAAACUACU